rnacentral:rRNA from 1 species
UACGAGGGGUGCAAGCGUUAUUCGGAAUCAUUGGGCGUAAAGGGUGCGUAGACGGCUUACUAAGUCAACUGUUAAAUUCUCCGGCCUAACUGGAGACCAGCAGUAGAAACUGAUAGGCUUGAGGUUGGAAGAGAGAAGUGGAAUUCUCGGAGUAGCGGUAAAAUGCGUAGAUCUCGAGAGGAACACCGAUGGCGAAGGCAGCUUCUUGGCCCAAAUCUGACGUUGAGGCACGAAAGCGUGGGGAGCAAACAGG